UUGUUGGUGAGGUAAUAGCUCACCAAGGCGUCGACGGGUAGCCGGCCUGAGAGGGUGACCGGCCACACUGGGACUGAGACACGGCCCAGACUCCUACGGGAGGCAGCAGUGGGGAAUAUUGCACAAUGGGCGCAAGCCUGAUGCAGCGACGCCGCGUGAGGGAUGACGGCCUUCGGGUUGUAAACCUCUUUCAGCAGGGAAGAAGCGAAAGUGACGGUACCUGCAGAAGAAGCGCCGGCUAACUACGUGCCAGCAGCCGCGGUAAUACGUAGGGUGCAAGCGUUAUCCGGAUUUAUUGGGCGUAAAGAGCUCGUAGGCGGUUUGUCGCGUCUGCUGUGAAAUUUGGGGGCUCAACCUCCAGCCUGCGGUGGGUACGGGCAGACUAGAGUGCGGUAGGGGAGAUUGGAAUUCCUGGUGUAGCGGUGGAAUGCGCAGAUAUCAGGAGGAACACCGAUGGCGAAGGCAGAUCUCUGGGCCGUAACUGACGCUGAGGAGCGAAAGGGUGGGGAGCAAACAGGCUUAGAUACCCUGGUAGUCCCAUGCCGUAAACGUUGGGAACUAGUUGUGGGGGACAUCCACG
rnacentral:rRNA from 1 species